rnacentral:rRNA from 1 species
GAUCAUGGCUCAGGACGAACGCUGGCGGCGCGCCUAACACAUGCAAGUCGAACGAGCGAGAGAGAGCUUGCUUUCUCGAGCGAGUGGCGAACGGGUGAGUAACGCGUGGGUAACCUGCCUCAUACAGGGGGAUAACAGUUGGAAACGACUGCUAAUACCGCAUAAGCGCACAGGAUUGCAUGAUCCAGUGUGAAAAACUCCGGUGGUAUGAGAUGGACCCGCGU